rnacentral:rRNA from 1 species
CNCGUGUGGAGCNUUGACGGUACCGUAAGAAUAAGGAUCGGCUAACUCCGUGCCAGCAGCCGCGGUAAUACGGAGGAUCCAAGCGUUAUCCGGAAUCAUUGGGUUUAAAGGGUCCGUAGGCGGUUUAGUAAGUCAGUGGUGAAAGCCCAUCGCUCAACGGUGGAACGGCCAUUGAUACUGCUGAACUUGAAUUACUGGGAAGUAACUAGAAUAUGUAGUGUAGCGGUGAAAUGCUUAGAGAUUACAUGGAAUACCAAUUGCGAAGGCAGGUUACUACCAGUGGAUUGACGCUGAUGGACGAAAGCGUGNGUAGCGAACAGGAUUAGAUACCCUGGUAGUCCAAGGGCGAAU